GGGGAUGUAGGGCAUCGACAUGGAAGAAUACAUUCAGACUGCAAGUCGAAUCUAUCGCGUUAAAUAGUACAACAACUGCAAAAAAUGAAGCAGAAGAGGCAGCAGCAGCUAGAGAAUAUUUCUCUGGUAUGCAAUUUGCUUACGCGCAAGCGUAAUCAAAGCUGUCUUUCUUAGCUUGCUAAGACGUCACACCGUUUACGCCGAUACACGCGCUGUGGCGAAAACUUUCGGCUUUCGAUCUUGCAAGAGAAGAAAUCUAUCGUGCAAGUAUCAAGAUAAAAUGAUUUCACCUGUUUUGAGUAAUCGAAACUGAAACUUGCUCAAUAAAAGUCUGUUCGUUUUUCUUUUAUGCACCCCGGUUCAACUCCGGGCAUCUCCACAC
rnacentral:tmRNA from 1 species